UCAACUUUUAUUCCGGGUAACCAGAAUGCGGAAGGUGUCAACGUGUAUAUAAGGCGGUAGCCAACACUUCAUUUCACAGUCGUGCUGGGGUCUUCCACUGCAUCUGUACUGUUGCUUCAACACUAUCUCAGGACGCAUCGCUUUCUUGCUUGUUAAUUACCAACGUAUACCCGAGGAUAAAAUGGGUAGUGAAUUCUAAGGAGCGUCGAUCUACCAAUAACAUGUCCCUGCCAAGUCAAAGACAAUCGAUUCCGCAAAAGCGUAUCUGGUCAAAAUGCGAGUUCGGGCGCCACGGUGAGCUUAGUGUUCAUUUACUAUAAGACGCCCUCGGCUGCAAAACGGCCUUCACACUAGAGAAAAAAAAUAAUCACCAUCCACCAACGCCAUCUAGCGGCCACGAUACGCACCUUUUUGAAAUCCCACCCACUGGAGGAGUGGCUGAAUCACUAUCGAUCACUACGACCAUUUCUAACAAUUAAUAUCGAUUUUAUCGUGCCAGUUCAGAUACAGGUGAAUGUCUCAGUGAUAAUACAUUUGUUUUUGUUUUCUAAACGUUUAUCAAUAACUGGUUUUCAAUACUGUUUAUCUCGCUUGUUGCAAUAACAUACCAGUUUAUCUCGCCGUUGAAAUGGACGACGCUGUCUGGAGUGUUUGUUGCGUUGUAAGUCAUGUUUCUCUUUUGUAUUGUUUUUGUUUUUGUAUGCGCACACGUGCAUUUAACGUAUAAAACCUAAUGUUAUGAUUAUGCCUUUGAUGUCCGAUGAUUGUACUCAUGUAUAUUUUUGUGUCAUUUAGAAUCUAGUCGAUUAAAACCACAAUAAGUGUCCUCAGUGUCGCAUAUUCACUCCGGUUAGUGCCGGGCAAAUCUCUGUGAAUGAGGAUCUCCAAACCGAUCACGAUUUGAUGGCCCUACUUUUCCAAACAAAAAAAAAAUUAUUAUCACAGAGACAUUCACCUGUAUCUGCCACUGGCACGAUAAAAUCGAUAUUAAUUGUUGGAAAUGGUUAUAGGAAUCGAUAGUGAUUCAGCUCCUCCGCCAGUGGGUGGGAUUUCAAAAAAGGUGCAUGCCGUGGCCGCUAGAUGGCGAUGGUGGAUGGUGAUAAUUUUCUGCGAAAUAAAAUUAAAUGGCCCUAGCCGAUGGGCUGAAAUUUUAGGGGGUAAUUUGGCGUUCCGUAGGGAUGAUGGUUAAGGACCCCGUCUAAAGAUUUAUGGAUAUGAGUAUGUUGGUUCAAGUCUAUCUUUUGUCAUGUUAUCAAUGUGAGUAAAAUUUUAGAAAUUUUUUAUUUGAUCUCGAAGUGAAAAUGUUUAAUCCGUCUAUAGAUUUUUUGCCUAAAUGAUUAAUUCAAUUAACUACAAGAACAAGAAGAAAAUUUUUCAUUAACAUGAUAAUAAAACUUAUAUUUUUUUAACAUACUACUUUUUUCUUUUUAACAACUCAAUUGCCAUAUUGCUGUCAAACUAGCACACUUUUCAUUUCAAAAACUUGAUUUCCUUUUGUUUUAUCUUUAUCCUUGUGUUUAUGUAACUAUAACAAGUGUUAAAGUUUUUUGGGGGUGUUUUUCAAAGAGGCUAUAUUUGCGAGCGCCAGAUGGUGUCGUCGUAACCCUUGUUUAUCUAGGGAACGCCUACCCGGCAUAGGAGGUAUUUGAGUUUACAGGCCUUAAGCAUUAAGUAGGCCUUGGUCGUUGGUCGAUUUCGAUCGCCAUUGUACAGUUAAUGGCGUCGCGCAUUGGAAGUAUAUGCGUGUGUGAAUUUCGAUGAGCGUUGUACACCUUGGAGGCCUCGUUGACUCGCCAGUUGAAGAUACGUGUGCACAGUGUUAGUGCUUGGGUGCCUCGAGAGGAAAUUGCAGAACAUAGCCAUACAGUAUGGUGUCCUUCAACAAUGUCCAACCAUGGAAUGAGUCCCAUGUGACUGAGACAAACAACUGAUGCUUUUGCAUUUUGAAUGUCUAAAUUU